UUUUUUUUUUUUUUUUGAACAAACUUAUUACUUUUUCUUCUGAAGACGAAGAAGAAGGAUUCAAUUAAUCUGAAGGUUAGGGUUUUGGUGAUUUUGGUUAGAUUCGGAUCGGUUGGGGCUUUGUCUCCUUCGUGGUGAUUAAAUUUGGUUAGGUUUCUUCUUCCUCGGAUUAUCUUUCGAAUCUAACCCAGGAAGCGUGUCUCCCCUUCGUCAAGAUCAUGGGCAGACAUUAAUCUAAUAAUGUUCUGUCAGAUUCUAUUUUGGGGACAUUGUCCCGACCAGAGUUGUGAACUAUGGGAUUGGUAGUGCAUGCAUUGUUGCGAGUUGGAAAAGGGGUUUCGAUUUGUUGGAUGGGAAUGAACCUACGGGUUAAUAAGUCUUAAGACAAAGACAUAAUAGAACCAAAGAGUUCUCACAGAUUGGUACCCUCGGCUUGGAAAAACUAAAAGAGCAAUGAGACAUAAGACAAAGACAAAGAGUCAAGAGACUAUGGAUGGGUUGGUAGUGCAUGCAUUGUUACGAGUUGUUGGCUGGGAAUGAAAAGAAAAGAGAACCUUGAUUAUUGGGUUGGUAGUGCAUGCAUUGUUACGAGUUGUUGGCUGGGAAUGAACCUACGGGCUAGAAACAUAAAAGAACCUAAUAUUGUGGAUAGGAAUGAAAAGAAAAAGGGAUCCUUGAUGAUUGGCUUGGUAGUGCAUGCAUUGUUGCGAGUUGGGAAAGGGUUUUCGAUUUGUUGGCUGGGAAUGAAAAGAAAAGGGAUCCUUGAUUUUUGGCUUGGUAGUGCAUGCAUUGUUGUUGGAUUGGAAAAGUUAAAAGAGCUAUGGCUUAAUGAGACAUAAGACAAAGAAAAAGGGUAAAAAGACUAUGGAUGUGACUUGUUGGAUUGGUAAAACCGACCAGCAAAGAGAAGAAGCUUUAAGAGAAAGUGUCUAAAGAUUGUGGAUGGGAAUGAAAAGAUAAGAGAGCCUUGAUUAUUGGGUUGGUAGUGCAUGCAUUGUUGGGAGCUUUUAGCUGGGAAAGAACCUACGGGUUAGUAACAUAAAAGAACCUAAGACUAUGGCUGGGAAUGUAAAGAAAAGGGAUCCUUGAUUAUUGGGUUGGUAGUGCAUGCAUUGUUGUUAGAUUGGAAAAGUUAAAAGAGCUAUGGCUUAAUGAGACAUAAGUGAAAAGAUAAGAGAGCCUUGAUUAUUGGGUUGGUAGUACAUGCAUUGUUGCGAGAUUUUAGCUGGGAAAGAACCUACGGGUUAGUAACAUAAAAGAACCUAAGACUGUGGCUGGGAAUGUAAAGAAAAGGGAUCCUUGAUUAUUGGCUCGGUAGUGCAUGCAUUGUUGCGAGCUUUUAGCUGGGAAAGAACCUACGGGUUAGUAACAUAAAAGAACCCAAGACUAUGGCUGGGAAUGUAAAGAAAAGGGAUCCUUGAUUAUUGGGUUGGUAGUGCAUGCAUUGUUGUUGGAUUGGAAAAGUUAAAAGAGCUAUGGCUUAAUGAGACAUACGACAAAGGAAAGACUAUGGUAGCGACUUGUUGGAUUGGUAAAACCGACCAGCAGAGAGAAGAAGCCUUAAGAGGAAGUGUCUAAAGAUUGUGGAUGGGAAUGAAAAGAUAAGAGAGCCUUGAUUAUUGGGUUGGUAUGGUAGUGCAUGCAUUGUUGGGAGCUUUUAGCUGGGAAAGAACCUACGGGUUAGUAACAUAAAAGAACCUAAGACUAUGGCUGGGAAUGAAAAGAAAAGGGAUCCUUGAUUAUUGGCUUGGUAGUGCAUGCAUUUUUGCGAGUUGGGAAAGGGUUUCGAAUUGUUGGCUGGGAAUGAACCUACGGGCUAGUACUAGAAAAGAACCUAAGAGUUCUCACAGUUUGGUACCCUCGGCUUGGAAAAAAUAAAAGAGCUACGGCUUAAUGAGACAUAAGACAGACAAAGAGUCGAAAGACUAUGGAUGUGACAUGUUGGAUGGUAAAAACGACCAGCAGAGAAAAGAAUGACUUGUUGGAUUGGUAAAAACGACCAGCAGAGAAAAGAGGCCUGAAGAGAAAGCAGUGAACUUAAAAGACAAAGAGUCGAAAGACUAUGGAUGUGACAUGUUGGAUGGUAAAAACGACCAGCAGAGAAAAAGAAUGACUUGUUGGAUUGGUAAAACACGACCAGCAGAGAUAAGAGGCCUGAAGAGAAGGCAGUGAACUUAAAAGACAAAGAGUCGAAAGACUAUGGAUGUGACAUGUUGGAUGGUAAAAACGACCAGCAGAGAAAAAGAAUGACUUGUUGGAUUGGUAAAACACGACCAGCAGAGAUAAGAGGCCUGAAGAGAAGGCAGUGAACUUAAAAGACAAAGAGUCGAAAGAUUAUGGAUGUGACAUGUUGGAUGGACAAAAACGACCAGCAGAGAAAAGAAGGAGUUGUUGGACUGGUAAAAACGACCAGCAGAGAAAAGAGGCCUGGGAGAGAAAGCAGUGUACUUAAAAAGACAAAGAGUCGAAAAGACUAUGGAUGUGACAUGUUGGAUGGUAAAAACGACCAGCAGAGAAAAGAAUGACUUGUUGGAUUGGUAAAACACGACCAGCAGAGAAAAGAGGCCUGAAUAGAAGGCAGUGAACUUAAAAGACAAAGUGUCGAAAGACUAUGGAUGUGACUUGUUGGAUGGUAAGAACGACCAGCAGAGAAAAGAAUGACUUGUUGGAUUUGGUAAAAACGACCAACAGAGAAAAGAAGCCUUAAGAGAAGACAAUGAAAAGAUUAUAGACGAACGUCUUUGGAAAGUUGUAUGUGCUUCUGGAGAAGUUCAGAUAUUAAGACUUUCAGAAGAUUCAAGUGUUGCAUACUUCUUUGACAGGUUAAUUUUCCCACUGAUGCAAAGGAUCAGGUAUAUGCUUAUCUUGGCUUCUCUUUAAUAAAAUCACAGAUGUACGCACCUUAUAUAAUUAAAAUUGUUUUAUUAUGUUAGCUGUCUUAAUAUCAUUACUAUCCUUGAUCUAUCCAUCUAAUUCUAGAAACUUAUUGCUAAGAUAUCAUUGAUAAAAAAUGGUGAUCUUGGUUUGCGUA